rnacentral:lncRNA from 1 species
AAGGGUAUCUUUGUAAAUAAUUUUUUAAUGCAAUACAUACUAUUUUUAAUGCAUUAAACCAAACAAUGCAUUGAAAUAAUCUAUGUAUAAUUAAUGCAAGCAUAGCUAAUAUACAUGCGUUGCUAAUGCAAGCAUUACUAAUACACUCUAUUUAGUAUAAAUGUAAUAGUAAUACACACUUCAAUACACAAUAAAAUGUAUACUAAACAAAGUACUACUAAUACACACUAGGGGUGUACAAAAUCGAAUUGAAAACCGAACUAAACCGCAAAUCGAGAAAAAAAAUCUGACUAGUGGUUGGUUUGACUUGGUUUGGUAUUGGAAAAAAAACCCGACUAUAUUUGGGUUGGUUUGGUUUUAACUAAAAAAAAUCAACCCGAG